rnacentral:tRNA from 1 species
GCCUUCAUGGUGUAGUGGUCAGCACGCUCGAUGCGUAACCAAGAGGUCCGUGGUUCGAUUCCCGGCGAAGGCG